rnacentral:lncRNA from 1 species
UAGUGUCCCAACAAUAAAAUUUGAGCUUUGAUCAGAAUGAAUUUGUCUUAGCUCCGUUUCUUCUUUCGCCCUGUCUAGAUUCCUCUCUUACAGCUCGAGUGGCCUUCUCAGUCGAACCGUUCACGUUGCGAGCUGCUGGCGGCCGCAACACACCUACUCCAACAAGGCCACACCUCCUGAUAGUGCCACUCCCUGGGCCAAGCAUAUUCAACUCAUGACACCAUGUCAGGCCUUUUAAGUCUUCUUCCAACUAUGGAUGCUGUUACACUGCUUCAGUUUCCUCAAGAGUUUUGAAUUCUAAUAUCAAGUCAGAAAUAAACCCUUAGGUUCUCUACCACUGAGGCAUUGUGGGCAAGCCUCUCACUCAAAGCUAAGAGCUGAUGUUCUGGGGAAGCCAAGGAGCCAGGAAGUACCUGGUUCAGGUUGGGGAAUGUCUGAGAAGGUGUUCAAGCAGACUUGAACUGGUACUCACUUGGAAUCAGAGUCCUAUGGCCAGGAUUUUAUGGGAAAUCCAAAGCCAGAGAAUUAGGAUGAUACAUAGCACCAUCUUAUUGAGGAAUAAGCUAUUCCUAUCCUAUCCUCAAGCUAUUUCCAAAGAAAUCCUACCAUGAAAAAUUACAAAGCACACUCACAGAGCUCUGUACAGGAUGAGUGGAUGGCCAGUACACAGUGAAGCCAGGGGACUUGUUCUUUAUAGGAAAGAAUGAAAAUCAUCAGAAGAACAAGUGGUGGAUUCAAAAGGGAACCAAGCAGACCUUAUAGAAGCAAUACCUACGAAUUGAGAAACUGGAUAGACAGGUUAAAGAACAGUUUAGACUGUGUAGAAACAACCUCAGAGAGCUAUAGGAGAAACACCUACAGUGAAUAUCCCAAAUGAGAAAUGUAGGGGAGGAAUGAAGGCAGGAUUUCAUGAAACACUGAUAGGAAAUCUUACUACAUUGACAAAUGCAUGAGUUUUUAGGCUUGAGGAAAGGAGCUACGGUCUGAAGAGACCAACAUAAAAGUAAUUGUGAGGUUGUAAGAGCAGAUGCUUAGGAUGGCAAAGACAGGGGGACAACAAACAAUGGGAACUGACAGAAUUGCAAACAGUUUCUAGUAGAGGUGAAAGACAUCACUGCUUCACUAGUGUUCUAUACCCAGCUAAACUACUCGGCAAGGUCAAAGUAUCACAUACAUUUACAGUAAGAAUAAAUGUACAACCUCAGUCUAUCACCCAAAGCACUGAUGUGAUUCUGGCUGAGUUGAGCUG